rnacentral:rRNA from 1 species
AUGCACAAUGAGAAAAAUGUAUCUGAGGCUUUACUAAACACAUGCCUUGAUAUUCCUGAGAAAACUAAGGAUAACAACAAAGCACGCCUUGAUGUUGAUUUAUAUUGUGAUCGACCAAAGCUACACCUGAACAAGAAUUCAAGGGGUGUGUGGAAGAAACCUAGAGCAAAAUAUUGUGUCAGCAAGGAAGAUAGAAUGACCAUCCUUAAGUGGUUUAAAGAAGUGAAGUUUUCUGAUGGGUUUACUGCUAAUUUGAGUAAAACUGUCAACUUGAGUAAAAACAAAUUCAUUGGGCUGAAAAGCCAUGACCACCACAUCAUCAUGGAGCGCCUCCUGCCAGUUGCCCUACGAGGCUUCAUCCCGGAACCUGAAUGGAAGGUCAUAACAGAGUUAAGUUUUUUUUAUCGGCAAUUGUGUGCCAAAGAAAUUGCUCCAAAACGGAUGCGUGGACUUGAGGAGGAGGUUCUUGUUCUAUUAUGCAAGCUUGAGAAAAUGUUCCCACCAGGCUUCUUCAAUGUAAUGCAACACCUGAUAGUGCAUCUUCCAUAUGAGGCAAGGGUUGGCGGCCCUGUGGCAUAUCGUUGGAUGUAUGUUUUUGAGAGGGCAAUGCACUAUCUUCGUUUAAAAGUGUGA